AUUGAACGCUGGCGGUAUGCUUAACACAUGCAAGUCGAACGGUAGCAGGCCUUCGGGCGCUGACGAGUGGCGGACGGGUGAGUAACGCGUAGGAAUCUGCCUCAUAGUGGGGGACAACGUGGGGAAACUCACGCUAAUACCGCAUACGCCCUACGGGGGAAAGCGGGGGAUCUUCGGACCUCGCGCUAUGAGAUGAGCCUGCGUUAGAUUAGCUAGUUGGUAGGGUAAAGGCCUACCAAGGCGACGAUCUAUAGCUGGUCUGAGAGGACGAUCAGCCACACUGGGACUGAGACACGGCCAAGACUCCUACGGGAGGAAGCAGUGGGGAAUAUUGGACAAUGGGCGCAAGCCUGGUCCAGCAAUACCGCGUGUGUGAAGAAGGCCCUAGGGUUGUAAAGCACUUUCAAUAGGGAGGAAAACCUGUCGGCCAAUACACGGCAGCUUGACAUUACCCAUACAAGAAGCACCGGCUAACUCCGUGCCAGCAGCCGCCGUAAUAC
rnacentral:rRNA from 1 species